UCCCAAACAUGUUCUAGUGCAUAUUUAGGAAGAUUGCAUGCGUUCGUUGCGAAAAAAUCCACCCGAGUUUCGCUACCCGGCAAUAGUGCAUUCGGGUGCCGAAAUGCACCCGUUUUGCAUCCUUUUUCGUCCCGGAACCGAAUGCCCAAAAACACUCCCAAACAUGUUCUAGUGCAUAUUGAGGAAGAUUGCAUACGUUCGUUG
rnacentral:lncRNA from 1 species